UAUUGCUGUGUCAAGUUCCAGAGAAGAGUUUCUUCUGCUCCAAGUUACUAAUCAGUCAAAAACACAGAGCUGAAGGAAGGGGCCAGGAGGAAAGGAGUGUCCGGCUGCUGAUGGACUAAGAGGAUUCAGCACGGAGAAGUCAGCCAGAGAGAGCCUCACCAUGCCCACAGCUCCUUUUUCACCUAUGUGGAGGAGAAGGGCUGAGUGAAGGGCGGAAAAGAAGAGAACAGAAAUGCCCUGCUCUUGGAGAACUUCUGACCUGCAGUUACUCCUGAUGUUGACUGUCUUCUUAGUGGCUGAGCGCAUAAGUGCAUCAAGCAACUCAACACAGCAACUGGCUUCAUCUAGAAACCUGAACUCUUCACAACUUCGUAGAAGG